AUUGAACGCUGGCGGCAGGCCUAACACAUGCAAGUCGAGCGAGCGGCGGACGGGUGAGUAAUGUCUGGGAAACUGCCUGAUGGAGGGGGAUAACUACUGGAAACGGUAGCUAAUACCGCAUACCAUCAGAUGUGCCCAGAUGGGAUUAGCUAUUAGGUGGGGUAACGGUUCACCUAGGCGACGAUCCCUAGCUGGUCUGAGAGGAUGACCAGCCACACUGGAACUGAAACACGGUCCAGGCUCCAACGGGAGACGACAGUGGAGAAUAUUGCACAAUGGGCGCAAGCCUGAUGCAGCCAUGCGGCGUAUGUGAAGAAGGCCUUCGGUUUGUAAAGCACUUUCAGCGGGGAGGCGUUACCCGCAGUAGAAGCACCGUCUGACUCCGUGCCAGCAGCCGCGGUAAUAC
rnacentral:rRNA from 1 species